rnacentral:rRNA from 1 species
UCCCCUAGUAACGGCGAGUGAAGCGGGAAGAGCUCAAAUUUGUAAUCUGGCACUUUCAGUGUCCGAGUUGUAAUCUCGAGAAGUAUUUUCCGCGCCGGACCGCAUACAAGUCUGUUGGAAUACAGCGUCAUAGUGGUGAGAACCCCGUAACUGAUGCGGAUGCCCGGUGCUUUGUGAUAUACUUUCGAAGAGUCGAGUUGUUUGGGAAUGCAGCUCAAAUUGGGUGGUAAAUUCCAUCUAAAGCUAAAUAUUGGAGCAAGACCGAUAGCGAACAAGUACCGUGAGGGAAAGAUGAAAAGCACUUUGGAAAGAGAGUUAACAGUACGUGAAAUUGUUGGAAGGGAAACGCUUGAAGUCAGACUUGCUAUUCGGAGUUCAGCCGCAAGGUGUAUUCUUCGAUUUGCAGGCCAGCAUCAGUUUUUGGGGGUGGAAAAUCGUGGUUUGAAGGUAGCAGUUUCGGCUGUGUUAUAGCUUUCCACUGGAUUCAUCUUCGGGGACUGAGGAACGCAGUACGCUUUUUGCAAGGCUCUCGAGCUUUUCGUACUUAGGAUGCUGGUGGAAUGGCUUUAAACGACCCGUCUUGAAACACGGACCAAGGAGUCUAACAUGCUUGCGAGUGUUUGGGUGUCAAACCCGGACGCGCAAUGAAAGUGAAUGGAGGUGGGAUCCGCAAGGUGCACCAUCGACCGAUCUGGAUUUUCUAAGAUGGAUUUGAGUAAGAGCAAUUAUGUUGGGACCCGAAAGAUGGUGAACUAUGCCUGAAUAGGGCGAAGCCAGAGGAAACUCUGGUGGAGGCUCGUAGCGGUUCUGACGUGCAAAUCGAUCGUCAAAUUUGGGUAUAGGGGCGAAAGACUAAUCGAACCAUCUAGUAGCUGGUUCCUGCCGAAGUUUCCCUCAGGAUAGCAGAAACUCACAUCAGUUCUAUGAGGUAAAGCGAAUGAUUAGAGGCCUUGGGGUUGAAACAACCUUAACCUAUUCUCAAACUUUAAAUAUGUAGGAAGACCUUGCUACUUAAUUGAGCGAGGUC